GGAGGGUUGUCCGAGUGGCCGAUGGAGCUGGUCUUGAAAACCAGUGGGCAGAAAUGUCUCAAGAGUUCGAAUCUCUUACCCUCCG
rnacentral:tRNA from 1 species